GCUCGCAAUGUGCGUACCAGGAAUACACCGGGGCCUCUGACCAAGAGGGAACAGACGGCCCCUCCAAUAACAUGAUUAGGCAAAUAGCCCUGAAUCCUAAGAAUUUCCUGUGAAGACUGAUCAACUUCACUAGAAAUUGUUGGAACAGGUGGAAAUUAAUUAUAAAAUGAUUAAGAAACACCAGUCUCUAUUCAAAGUGUAUAACUACUUUCAAAUUGUAUUAUUUCCUUGGGAAAGUAAAGCUAACAUAGUGCGUAAGUGUCACUAUGGGCGUUGCAUGAGAAAAAAAUCCCUGAGAAAUUAGAAAGUACUAUAGAGUUUAUAACUAAAUAGGUCAUCUAAAUCAAAUCUCAAGGUAAAGAGCAAUGGCGGGUUAGAGUCUACUCUUUGAGGAAAAGUCCCUGAGAAAUAAGAAAAUAUUAUAAGAGUUUAUAACUAAAUAGGACAUUUAUACAAACCUCAAGGUGAAGAGAUGGCAACAGGAGUGAAUUAUUUUCAACGCCGUCAAGGCAGGCAGACCUCGUAGUAAUACGAAAUUGGGUUCUAAUAAAAAGUCAUCCCAGAAAAAGAAGAGGGGCCAGAGGAUGUAAGUGUGUAUUGUGGCAAAGUGGCCUUCUAUGCACAGCCCUGGUACCCCAUGGCAAUGGCCCUGCUACAAGACGGGACUCCAACGAAUCUAGGAGACACUAGGGUAAUGUUGAGCGCCAAGAUGAAGGUAGAAAAAGAGUGAUUUUAUAAGCAUUCAAUUUUAUUAGGAAAAUAAAUAUGUUGCAGUUCUUAGGGAUAAUAAAGUACUGUAGAUAAUGGAUCCCAUACUACGCAAACAUAUAUAAAAUUAUUGAUGAGACUGAGUUAAGAUUAACCCAGGUUAUUGUUAGAUAAAAUACAGUGGACUCCCGAAAGAGAGAUUUCAUUAGUACAGAAAACAUAGGCUAUGUUUAGUAGCGUUUUGGCCUUAUCUAAUCAUUUGAAGGUUUGUCUUUAAAUAGUAGAAAGAUGACAAGAAUAUAUGGCAUCUGUUGUGACCCAGGGUCAUUGAGAGUAUCGGGUUAAUUAAGUUGAACUAUCUUAUAGGUUACUACAUAGAAAUGUUGAGUUCUAUAAAAUUCAUUAGUGUAAACAGGGAGACAGUGAGACAGUCAGUCAAUAUUUGGAAACAGAGACCAUAUCUGGUACUGACAGUAUUAGCUGCGGCAACAGGAAGCGAAAAAGGCCGGUUUUAAACCACAGUCAUUAAAGCAGCAGUUAAGAGGAAGUUAAACAUAGACAUAACUACAUUGAAAGAGCUGAGACAGAUAGUGACCCAUGUGCAUAUGUAUUAGGUCAGUUAGACACGGACACAGGAGUAGGGGAAGGGGACGUUACAUGGAAGUAAAUAAUGCAAAGAGUGGACGCCUCGGGGUAAAAUUUCAGGAUGGACUUUAAAAAAUAUAUGAAAAUAAUAAACCACUUAGGGAUAAAUAUGCUACAAGGAGAAGAAAAUCUCCUCAGCUUAUCGGACGCUAAAUAAUUAUAAGUAAGGGGAGUCAUAAAUAUGAAAAAAAAAAUGUUCCAGACCAAAUAGAGAGAGUCAGAACACACAUAAAAUAAUUGGAGGAGUAUAUAAGCCAGGGAAGCAAUGCAAAAUAGCCAGACACAAAAGAGGCCUUAACCAAGUUGAAUACUGCAGGCAUGAAACUGAAUCUGACAAAAUGCCAGAUAGGCAGGAAGGAAGUCAGCUUUCUCGGUUUCACAAUCAGCGACGGAAUAACUGCGAGUGAAGGAUACCUAGAAAAAGUGCAGAGAAUGGAGAAGCCACAAACAAUUAAUGAGAUGCAGAAAUGCCUAGGUAAACUAGGGUAUAUUAGAAACCACAUACCCCAGCUAUAGCAGAGUAGCUAAGCAUUGCUAUAAAGGCAUUACUAGACGAAAUGACCAACUAGAGCUGUCACAUAAGCAAUAUGGGAAAGAGCCCAUCAUUUGAACAGACAAAAUGACUGAAUCAUGGAUAAAGUUUUUUAAAAAGAUGGCAGCUGUAGCCCAGACUAAUGAGCCAAGAAACCCCGAUCUGACCCUAUGGAUAUUUGUAAAAUUAGAAGGGGAGGACAUAGAUAGGGACGGGUUCAUAUGGGUGGCCAAUGAAGGAUCGGAGAGAACAGUGAAGUGCUGCAGUAAACACUUAAAGGGACCAGUGAUGAAAUAUACGUCUGAAGGAGCCAAGAUGGCCCUAUUACAAAUAUAUACAUAUAAUAUAUUACAAAUAUAUACAUAUAAUAUAUUGGAACAAGAUAGUAUCACUGACUCAGGGUCAACAAAUUAUAAUAAAACACCAGCAGCUAAACAGGCUAUGGGCAGACAACCACACAAAGAAAAUGCUAGGGGUGACAACCACCACCUGGGACAAAUGGAGAAAUGUAGUAGGAACCAAGGGAGUACAAGGCAAAGGAAGCAUAAAACACCAAAAGAAAAACGCAGGGAUAUAGUGGUGUUUACGGGUGGAAGCGAGAAGUCAGAAGAAAAAAAAACAGAUGGUGCGUUAUAGUGAAAAAUAAAGCUACAGGAGAUACUCUGACCAAACAGAGUCGAUCAAUAACAGGGACAGCCCAAAAGGCAGAGGUAAUGGCAGUGCUGGAGGCACUUUUACACUGUAUAGGGUCUAAUCUGAAAAGGAUAGAAAUAGUGACCGACAGUUAUUACUGUGCGCAAGCUAUGGCCUCAGAUAAAAAGAUUUGGCAGAAUAACGGGUACAGAGGUGCCAAAAAUAAGCCAAUUCAAUAUGAGGGUGAGUGGAGGAAAAUCCAUGAGUUAAUGGAUGAAAUGAACAUAGUGGUAAGUCAUUAAAAGGCUCAUACUGCCGAGUCAGUAAGUGCAGAAGCAGACUUUAACCAACUAGGCAAUAAAUAGGUAGAUGAACUAGUUCAAAUGGGAAGAAUAGUUCUCUAUACACGAGAAACAGACAAACUGAGAGCACUCCAUGAGGAUUGGGGCCACUUGGGGUCCCGCAUAUUCAUGAAAAGGCUAACAAACGAGGGCAUUUUCUAUACUAGAGAAGAAGUACAAGAAAUAUGCAAGAAAUGCAUCAUAUGCCAAGAACAAAAGAUUAGUAACCUAGGCAGGAUAGCAGGUCAACACAACAUGGAAGCAAGUGCAACACACCAUGGAAGCAAGUGCAACACACCAUGGAAGCAAAUAGCAUUAGAUACUAUGGGUCCUAUGAAGAUUGCAACCUCCUUAGGGCACAGGUACGCUAUAGUAGCGGUGUGUAUGGCUACAGGAUACUCAAUAGUGCUCACAUCAAAUUCAUCCAAUGCGGUGCCAGUGUUGAAAAUGCUUAACCUUCUAACCCUUGCUCUAGGUCCUUUCCCAUCCAUUAGAACCGAUAAUGGAAGACAGUAUAAGAAGAAGAAGGUGGAGGAGUGGUGUGUGGGGUUAGCACACAUAUACUCCCCCCCUUACACCCCACAGGCCAAUGGCUGUGCCGAAAGGACCAUAGGGAAAUUAAAGACGACCCUAGGGUUAUGAAAGGCAGAGAAAGAUUGGGGACCUAAGUUGCCACAGGCCUGUGUGGAAAUGAACUUAACUCCAACAGACACAGGGCCUAGCCCAAGAGAAUUGAUGGGACUACCCAACAUCAGCACAGUGGUGGAAAUAGCUAAUGCGCAGUCUCCCCCUCUACCUUGUGUGUUACAGGUGGGAGACUGGAUUAGGAUUAAGACCAGGAGCUGACACGGGGAAUAGAGUAAACCCAACAAAAACAAAAACAAACAAAAAAAUACAGAAAAAGACGCCAGGUAAUUGCCGUGAUCAGUGCAAACACGAUCAAAGUAGACGGUGAUAUAACGGUAGACGUUGCACAACUUAAAAAGGUAUGUCCACCAGAGUAGUUCAUCCAGAGUGGCUGCACAUGUUGACCUGCAGGUCAGGAAUACAGGUGAGACGCUCGGAUGACGCAGUAUGGAUAACCACUCAUCUAAGACACGAACAACUGGCGAAAGCAGGAGUGGUAGUUCGGGGGGAAUACCAGGGCUGUGUGGCACGAAAGCAGGUGAGGUUAUAUGAACAUAGCCCCAUGUGAGGUAUGCGGAGAACCCACAGGGGAGGUGCAGUAUGAAGGCCCGGCCAAGAUGAGCAUAAGGCAGAUAGCCACAGGAAGUGACUGUGGUAAGAGAGGUGGUAGGCAAAGAGUAGGAAGGGUUCUCUGGUGCAAGAGAUGUGAUAGGGACGUAUUUCCAAACUGCAUGGUAGGAGUACAGGUAGUGACAUCAGGAUGGGAGCCGAAGCAGUGCACAUGUGUAUGGACGCACAGAGGUGUGUUGGUCCAGAAGAACUGUGUGGAGUGCAGACCUCAGAAACUGAGAGGGGGGAAUGACCUGUUAAGAGGUAGCCUACUCACUCCAGUGAGAAGGGAGGAAGGCCUAUGGCCUGUAGAAGCAGGGCCCUUCAGAUUGGCUGGAGGAAUAAGUACAUACAAAAAUUGUGAACAGUGGCUGGAGGAAAGGAAAGGUGACCCAGUCCCAGUGACAGGAUAUGACACACAACCAGGAGAACCAGAAUGUUGGAUGAUGGUAGAAGGGAAACUUUCCCUAUGGAACCCUAAGACUUACCCAAGUCAGAUGUUGACAAACAGACGUGACUGGGAACAAGAUGAUGAAUAUGAAUUAGACAAUAACCAUGAGAGAAACGACCACCAUGGGGUAAUGAGAAGAUGCUGGUGGGAACAUGUAAGCCAUGCAAGCCAGUGAGAGAACAUAACUGGGGCAGGUUAAUGAGGAAAGAGAAGACAAUGUGCUGUGUCUCCAAGCUUAUGGCCAUAGAGGAUACAGAACCCGUAAGGGGUGACAAAAGAGAAAGGCACAUGGUGAAAUUGGGCUGGCAAAUAUACAUUGCCCAGGACCCCAAAACCAAAUUGGACUGUGUAUACUCGUGCCACAUGUUGGUGGACAGGAAAGCAGCUCCUGGAGAGGGAAGGGGUAGAAAUGAAGCUGCUCUACCUGAUCCACAAGGAAAAAUUAGAAGGCUGAUUAACCUAAUAAAAAGAAAACUAACCUCAAACACACAAGACCCUGGAGAGGGCACAUCUAGACAAAGGGACACAGGCCAUACUAGGUCCCCCAUUUGUAAAAAAUAAAUAAGAAAGAAAACAAAACUAACUAGAAUGUCUCCCUCUGUUUCCACAGGGAAAUGAGGCUGGGAGAAUAUAGAACCAGACAUAGGGAAUGUAAGGUGGGAUGGUGCUGGUGGGUAAGUAUCCUUUCCACCAUAAUAUUAGUACCCACCGCCAUAAUAAUAGGACUAAAGGGAUAGUGUAUGAAAAACAAGAGAGAGAAUUAGUACAGGGACUAGAGAUACUCCAAGAAAAAUGUGCCAACUCUAUACCAACCUAUAGAGCAUUUACAACGAGAUGGGGCACACCUGUACAAUGCACCAUAACAAAUGACUCACUGUGUCCAGGACACCCUUCAGUCAAGUUAAAACAGAAAUAUAAUAUUACGAAAUGGAAUCUGACCUGGGAUCAUAAUAACACCAUAGUGGUGUUGUGGAAAUUAGUGACCAGUAACACACUCCAAGGGUAUAUAGUAAAUAUAACUAAAGGACCAGUACUGGUUAAUCAGACAUGUGAAAAUGGACAAUAUAUGAAUUCAUAUAAAGGCGGCCAGUGGAGGGGACAGCUGGGUGAUGCAGAGAAUAUAACAGAGAUCAAAUGUAUCUAUGAUCAAAGUACGACCAGUUCACCUUGGGAAAGUGUUGAGAGCCACAGUUUAACGACUGCUUUCAACACCUCGGCCUGGCCUAGGAGGAUGAUAACAACGCGUUGGCCUCGGAUGAGCCAAAAUAGCAUGACCACAAAUCAUGCAUCUGCAAGUGCAGCAAUAACAACACCCCGUGAACCAGGCGAAAACAAUACUAGCACCCUAGAGCGAGCUAAAAGGGAAGUGGCCCCCCCGACCACACUGGUGCGCGACAAAACAGAAAUGAACCUAACACACACAGAGGGCCUAAAACAGGGUAUGGAUCAAGGGGGCUUAGAUAUAUUAUGUCUGAAAGGGAAUCGAGUAAGGCGCAGCACGCAGAGGUGAAUUACAGGACCAAGUCCUGAAGCUAAAUGGUUGAAUGAUAUAGUGUUAUACUUACACCCUGGAAAUUCCUCCUCAUGGGAUAAUAGAAUACUGGGAGGAAGCAAGGGUAUUAUUUUACCGUAUGCAAAAAAUAGAACCUAUAAGUAUCCAGGAUUUACUAGUGGCCUAUUAGAUAGAUUCCACCGGAUGGAAUAUGGAGUGUGGGGACAUGACAUUCCCCUGGAGAAUUGGAGCAGGAAGACAUACAUGGGGAAGUCCUAUCUGGAACCACAUGGCUAUGCGAGGAUUGUUAUGAACCUCAUGAGGCGUAUCUGAUAGAAAGAAUAGGUGAGGAGGAGUAUUUGGCGCAGUUACAUCCUGGGGAUUCGGGGUUAACAUGAAAGCCACAGCAGGAAGGCGUAGAGUGGCAAUAGGAAGGAAAGAAAAUACAAUAGUAGACUUCAAAGAUAGUAACAAAUGCCCAUGUCGGCCAGCGAAUUGGAAAUAUGGAUCACCACCUCUGGUGAUGAAAAAUGUAAGGACAACAAUGGAAAGAGGCCUCCCGGGUGGCGCAGUGGUUAAGGUCGCUGUACUGCAGUGCCAGCUGUACCAUCAGAGACUCUGGGUUCGCGCCCAGGCUCUGUCGUAACCGGCCGCGACCGGGAGGUCCAUGGGGCGACGCACAAUUGGCCCUAGCGUCGUCCGGGUUAGGGAGGGCUUGGUCGGUAGGGAUGUCCUUGUCUCAUUGCGCACCAGCGACUCCUGUGGCAGGCCGGGCGCAGUGCGGGCUAACCAAGGUUGCCAGGUGCAAGGUGUUUCCUCCGACACAUUGGUGCGGCUGGCUUCCGGGUUGGAUGUGCGCUGUGUUAAGAAGCAGUGCGGCUAGGUUGGGUUGUGUAUCGGAGGACACAUGACUUUCAACCUUCGUCUCUCCCAAGCCCGUACGGGUUGUAGCGAUGAGACAAGGUAGUAGCUACUACAACAAUUGGACACCACGAAAUUGGGGGUAAAAAUGUAAAACAAUAAAUAAAUUUAAAAAACAAUGGAAAGAGACACAAGGAGGGAGCCCCAAGUUAUGUUAGGGGACUUGGAGAAUUUUUGGACCAAAGAGGACUUAGAAGUCCUGGAGAAAAAAACAUCAGUGCUAUGAGGCGAGAUAAGGACGGGGCAGAGUGGCACGAGAGCACCGUCAGGAGAUUUGGCCUUAAGUGGAAGAUGUUGGAUUGCAACAUAGGGGCUUGCAUGAUGGGGAGAAAUGAUGUUAGGAGAUAUCUAUAGGCCAAGAGCUAGUAAACAUGGAGUGAGGAGGAGAUUAACUGAGGAAGAGGUACGGGCCCAGAAAAAGGUAGAGGGGCAAGGAAAAUAACCGGUUUUCCUUAUAGAAGAAAGCAAGGAAGAACAUGGAGAGGGACCAGGUUUGAAGAUAAGGAGACUAAGAAGGUAUACCCCAAGGCACAGACAGGAUAAUCAGAUAUCGAGGAAAGAAAAGGAGGAAAGACAGAAAGAGAGAGGUAGGCAGUUAGUGAAAGGAUGGUUUGGGCGUGGCUCAAAAGAGAAUGGCCCUAGCGGGCUGCUAGACGCAGGAGUUAGGAGGCAGACGGCACAGGGGCCAGCCUGGCGAUCUAUCUGGGCACUAAAGGCAACAGAGGAAAGACAAUGUAAAACCAUACAAGGAGAUGGAUCAGGUCAUAAGGGCGAGGGACCUAACUGGUCCAAAAUUGCAGAUCUUACUAGUUCAGUAGUGAGGUGUGAGGCAGCAGCAGGAGAUCUGAGAAGGGAGCUGAAAUACAUUGGGGAUGAACUUAUAGGUAUGGAAGAAGUAGGAAGGGCAAGAAGAAGGCCAAGAAAGGCAGGCGACAAUAACAUAAUGGUCUAACCAAUCUUCCCUGAAUUAUAGGAAUCAGAAAGCUUCAGAGGAAGAACAGAUGUAUGAGGAAGCAAAGAUCCUAGGAGAAUGGCGUAUGGCUAGGAUGGAGACAUUCAUUGAACAUUGGCAAAUAAUGGAUAGGCCUGACCUGAAUGACUGUUGCGAGGGGCAUAUGUUGUGUUGGGAAAAUACCAGGGAACUAGACAUAUGUGGAGGGUGUGCAUUUAGUGUAAAGGGGACUCCACAUGGAAGGCGAGGGAAAGAUUUGGAGAGUGUGUGUUUAGGUUGCUUAGAGGAAGCCAGAGAUUGGCCAAAAAUGAGGGUAAUGGUAAAAAGAGGGAUGGCUUGGGAAAUGACCCAGGACAGAGAAGAGGCAAAGUUGAGGGUUGUGUAUAAUGGUAAAGAAAUAGAAUGGGGCAGGCAAACGGGAAGAUAGAGUUAUCAGGGCUAAACAAUGAAAUAUAUUACACAGGAUGGAGCCAGGACCAGGGGAGGAUGGAACCAUCGGUGCGAGGGUUGUUCUAGCAUAACGAAAGGAAAAAUAAUUAGAGAUACCAGACGUGGGUAUAGGUCUUUUACAUACGUUUGAAAGGCUUUUGUGGUGCAACAAGUAAUAAGUAUAAGUACUGUACAUAUGCAGAAGAUGAAACAGAGGACUGGCCCAAAGAUGGGUCAUAUGUAAACCUUCUAUUGUACGGCAGAAUAACUGCUAGAUCCGUAACGGAGGACAGUACCUCAAGAGUAGGUAUUGGUUGAAGAUGGAAGAUGGGCAGGAGGUUAGCUAUGGCAUGAUACAGAGAAUAGAUGGGCUAAUGUUAGGGGUAUGCUAUGAUGGGGGAAUAAUGAGGCGAGGAACUAAGAAAAAGGAGUGUUCAGAUGCUGGAGAGGGUGUGACAAGAGACAAAAAUAAUCUGCCCACUCCAUCAAGCAAUGGGGACUACAACACAGGGCAUUCACGGGACCUCAUGGAACCAUGGACCGCACCUGCGGAAACUGGACAACAGGGAGAAGCAGAGGAGAUACCUAUUAUAGACUUCUCCCAGCUGACGCUUGACAUACCACCUACGCCACCUCCAGUGGUAGAAACAACCAGCUGGUAUGAUUGAGUCGAAUCAGCCAACAGUAACACGGAAGCAGCAAUGUGAGAGUCAGUAGUUUAACACACAGGCCUAAGGUUAUGUAGGUCUACAGCACCAGUGGGAACUUCCCCUGUAAAAAGGUAUAUAAAGAGAACAGAGAUCAUAAGACAGUAUGAUCCUCGUUAACAUAUGAGACAGACUUCAUAUGGAGAAUCAUCACAGGUAAAUUUACUUUUGCACUAUACUCUUUUUGUUAGACUAUACCAAUAUUAGAGAACUGGAUUAUUUUGCCUAAGUACUUAUUGGAUCACUAUCUGAAUAUACUUGGUUGAACUUAGUGACCCCGAGACUGAGUCUAUGAAACACAGAGGUCUAAACGCCUCUUGAAUACAGACGAAGUGGCAGUCACUCAGUGAGACAUCAGGUACAGAUGUGAUUGGCAAUACAAGGAAACAGCAAAGUACCAGUUACAAUAUAUUGAGUCCAUACACAGAGUUGUAAGGGUAUUAAGAUACUGGAAUUCGGAAUCUAACGUCAUAGCUGCGAGAAUACCGAUUACGGGAAAGGGACCAAGGGGCUGAGCAUUUAAGGUGGAAGGUGUGAUUUUCAUCCCUAUGAGCGUGCCACCCUCCUCCAGGCCAUGGAUGAGGCAUGCAAUGACAUCAUUUCUGUCACGUUCUGACCUUAAUUUCCUUUGUUUUGUAUUUAUUUAGUAUGGUCAGGGCGUGAGUUGGGUGGGUUGUCUAUGUUUGUUUUUCUAGGUUUUGGGAAUUUCUAUGUUUCGGCCUAGUAUGGUUCUCAAUCAGAGGCAGGUGUCAUUAGUUGUCUCUGAUUGAGAAUCAUACUUAGGUAGCCUGGGUUUCACUGUGUGUUUGUGGGUGAUUGUUUCCGUGUCUGUUCGCCACACGGUACUGUUUCGGUUUUGUUCACGUUUAUUGUUUUGUAUUCAUUGAGUGUUCAGUUCAUGUUUUUAAAUAAACAACCAUGGACACUUACCACGCCGCAUAUUGGUCCUCUGAUCCGUUUCGCCUCUUCGGAAGAAGAGGAGGAAAACCAUUACAAUUUCUGACCUGCUGUAUGCAAGGCUUGGAUUCACCACGCUAAAAGUUUGUUUUUUCCACAGAUGCAUGAACAAUGAGGACAUUGAGGACAUUGCUGCACUGAUGAUGAGAACCUAUGGGCAAAAAUGCUCAAGACAGGCUUGAUGCAACUAGUGCCCGCUAAACGUUAUGUUCGUUUCAUUUGAUUACAGUACACCUAUGUUGUAAUUAUAUCUGAAGAAUAUAUUUUUGGUUCAAUGGUUUUGAAAGAUGUCUUAAAUUAUCACACCUGUUAAGGUUUUCUUCCGGUGAAUGUGAGGAGGACCAAAAUGCAGCGUGGUUAUUUCGCUACAUCUUUAAUAAAAGAUAAACACGAACAGAACAAAACAAUAAACGUGAAAAUCCUAAACAGCCUAUUCUGGUGCAAACAAACACAGACAGGAACAAUCACCCACGAAACACUCAAAGAAUAUGGCUGCCUAAAUAUGGUUCCCAAUCAGAGACAACGAUAAACACCUGCCUCUGAUUGAGAACCACUCCAGGCAACCAUCGACUUUUCUAGACAACCCCACUAACCACAAUCCCAUUACCUACAAAAAAAAACCUAGACAAAACACACCACAUAAAUAACCCAUGUCACACCCUGGCCUGACCAAAAUACUAAGACCAGGGCGUGACAACACCUUUAUUUGCGCAUGGGAUGGAAUUUUACAUUUUUGAUGGGUGAUAUUUAAUGGGUAGUGCAAGUGUAUAGCCUAAUGUGAAAACAGGGUAAUGUACUGUCAUUUAUGGUACUAUUGCAUACUACAUUCAGAUUAUAAUUUUGAAACUGCUGUCUUGCAUUUAUUUUGCUAUUGGAUUAAUUGGUUGUUAAAACAACUAAAUUAAGAUAUCAUUAUGUUGUGUUUUGGUGAGUUGUCAUGGUAUUGCACAAUAAACGUAUAUUUUGAAUCAAUGGAUGUGUGGUGAAAGAUGUCUCCAAACAAAACGAAUGUACAAUAAAAAAGUUUUCAAUAUAAGACUAUGUAACAAGUGUUACCAGUUUGGAGUGUUGUACUAAGAGUUUAGAAAACUUACCACAUACUUGUGAAAAUAGCACCAAAGCAAUAAAGAAAACUGUAAAGUCCUGGUGUUGAUGCUAAGAAGCGAAGAGAGAGAGGAGGGGGAGAGAACUACUUGCACUUUGUUACAACACUGUACAUAGCCAGUAAUAAAACAUUUGAAAUGUCUAUAUUCUUUUAAAACAUAUGCGAAUGUAACGUCCACUAAUGUUUCCCUUGUUUAUUUCCCAUUUAUUUAUUAUCUAUUCCAUUUGUUUGGCAUUGUAAACAUGUGUUUUCCAUACCAAUAAAUCUUCACAGCUUCACA